UUUCCGUAGGUGAACCUGCGGAAGGAUCAUUAUCGUACAAAAUGUGAGGGGCAUGCGAGGGCUGUCGCUGACCCAAAAGUCGUGCACGCCCGAGUGUGUCCUCUUGCAUAAUACUCCAUCUCACCCUUUGUGCACCACCGCGUGGGUCCCCCUUUGGCUUGUUCGGAGGGGGGCUUACGUUUUCACACAAACUUUGUAUGCAGUGUAGAAUGUAUUUUUUGUUUUUGCGAUCACGCAAUCAAUACAACUUUCAACAACGGAUCUCUUGGCUCUC
rnacentral:misc_RNA from 1 species